UCAGGCAUGGAAGUAACGUUUGAGUCAAAUACAUUUAACUUAGAGACUUCACGUAUUGGUAAUCCUGUCUUCCGAGUAACAUUGGAAGCUAAUUGCAAUGGUCAUAGAACAAUUGUGAGCUUUUCUUUAACUUAAAUGUUUUCUAGACUACAUACAACAUUGUCAUAUCUAUCGUUAUCGCUUAAUUCUAAGUUCUACCAUUCAUAGAUUUGUUAAUUUACUUUGUAGUAUGUACGUAGGAUAUUCGCUAGAGUGUAUCUACCAUUGUUUGUCCAGAAUGUUCAAAUCCAUGUUUAUUCACAUCGUAAUUGGUCGUGCGUACAAAUCUAAGAACAAAUGGAUCUGUGCGAUGAUUUCUGUAGUUUGGGCAGACUAUGUUAACGAGAAAUGACUUUGAAUGGGUAACACAUGUGCCUUUGAACCUAUAAACGAUGAAGUCCCCAUGUUCAUGGUGUACAAAGUAUGCCGCGAUGAUGGAAGUUGGACCCUUAUAUGAAUUUUACACUUUCAUUUGUAGCUUUCGUGUUUACUUAUUAUCGAACAUUUAUUUUCCUCUUUGUGUAUAAACAUUUUAUAACUAAAUCUAUUGGAAUUCGACUUUCUAAUUUGCCUAUUUUAUUUUUACUUCAAGUUUGCACUAAAUUCGUGGUUUUUGAUUCACUUUAAUAAAAUCAGUACAGAAUUGGUUUGUGCGUAUAUGUAACGUACAUAAUGAAAUCCUACAUUUCAAGUUCGUAGCUCGAAUGUAUCAUCAUUGUUCGAAAGCUGGCAUCCAUGUUGCUAAAAUUAUUCUCGGUAUGUAAAUAGUUUAAAUGCUUCUAGAACAUUCUUUAUUAUAAAUUUUAAUUCUUGCUUAAUGUCUUCGGAGCAACCUAAACAAUAUAUUCUGGGUCUAUAUGAAGAAUAUUUUACCCUAACUCAAAUUUUUUAGGUUUCCUUUCGCGUUUGUACAUUUAACUUUCAAGACUAUAUCUUCGUGCACCUAAAGAGGAAAAAGCAAUGAUGUGAGAAUGGAAUGUGGAUCAAAGGUCUAAAGAUAUGUUUUGGCGUCACCCAGAUACUGCUGUUGAAAUUUCAUUUUCACCAUAAAAAAUGGGACAUUGUUUAGCUAAGAUUGUACUAGCGACAAAGCUUGCUACGAAACCUCGAGAGACCACAAUCAAGACACUUUCAUAUCUUCAAGGAUGGUGUGUUUCAUUCUUACAUGUACUUUGCAACAAAGAAACAUAUAGUGCUGAAGACAUCGACAAAAUUACUGAAGAAAACUUUGAAACUAUUUCUACAAAUUCUCCUGUCUCCUUGGAUGUGAUGAUAGUAGCUAAAUAUUUUACGUUGUACCAUAUGAUUUUCUAUUUAUUUUAAACAUAUUGGUGUUUCAAUGGCAUUUGAAUAUGUAACUUAUUAUCCUUUUAUUUUCUAUUUAAUAGAAAUUGGA